rnacentral:rRNA from 1 species
CUACGGGAGGCUGCAGUGGGGAAUAUUGGACAAUGGGGGAACCCUGAUGCAGCAACGCCGCGUGGAGGAUGACGCAUUUCGGUGUGUAAACUCCUUUUAUAUGUCAAGAAAAUGACGGUAGCAUAUGAAUAAGCACCGGCUAACUCCGUGCCAGCAGCCGCGGUAAUACGGGAGGGUGCAAGCGUUACUCGGAAUCACUGGGCGUAAAGGACGCGUAGGAGGGUUGGAAAGUCAGGUGUGAAAUCCUACAGCUUAACUGUAGAACUGCACUUGAAACUUCUAAUCUAGAGUAUGGGAGGGGGAGAUGGAAUUAGUGGUGUAGGGGUAAAAUCCGUAGAUAUCACUAGGAAUACCUAAAGCGAAGGCGAUCUCCUGGAACAUUACUGACGCUAAGGCGUGAAAGCGUGGGGAGCAAACAGGAUUAGAUACCCGAGUAGUC